rnacentral:rRNA from 1 species
GACGUAGGGGGCCAGCGUUGCUCGGAAUCACUGGGCGUAAAGGGUGCGUAGGCGGGUCUUUAAGUCAGGGGUGAAAUCCUGGAGCUCAACUCCAGAACUGCCUUUGAUACUGAGGAUCUUGAGUACGGGAGAGGUGAGUGGAACUGCGAGUGUAGAGGUGAAAUUCGUAGAUAUUCGCAAGAACACCAGUGGCGAAGGCGGCUCACUGGCCCGUUACUGACGCUGAGGCACGAAAGCGUGGGGAGCAAACAGG